rnacentral:rRNA from 1 species
GAUGAACGCUGGCGGCGUGCCUAAUACAUGCAAGUCGAGCGAACAGACGAGGAGCUUGCUCCUCUGACGUUAGCGGCGGACGGGUGAGUAACACGUGGAUAACCUACCUAUAAGACUGGGAUAACUUCGGGAAACCGGAGCUAAUACCGGAUAAUAUAUUGAACCGCAUGGUUCAAUAGUGAAAGACGGUUUUGCUGUCACUUAUAGAUGGAUCCGCGCCGCAUUAGCUAGUUGGUAAGGUAACGGCUUACCAAGGCAACGAUGCGUAGCCGACCUGAGAGGGUGAUCGGCCACACUGGAACUGAGACACGGUCCAGACUCCUACGGGAGGCAGCAGUAGGGAAUCUUCCGCAAUGGGCGAAGGCCUGACGGAGCAAAGCCGCGUGAGUGAUGAAGGUCUUCGGAUCGUAAAACUCUGUUAUUAGGGAAGAACAAAUGUGUAAGUAACUAUGCACGUCUUGACGGUACCUAAUCAGAAAGCCACGGCUAACUACGUG